CGGGACUGUAGAGUGGGACAAGGAAAGCAGUAGACAUUAAUAUGGAUUCAUUGAGCUACAGCUCAGGGGUUAGUAGUUCAAAACAUUUUUCCAGCUCAUCCACAGGCAGCAAACAGAAAGAUUUCAGCUAUAGACAAAAGAACUUGCAGGUUGCAGCAGCCACUGCUCUCCUUGCCUAAACUUACACCAUAAAAAAAAAUUAAACAAAAAAAAAAAUCAAAUAGCGUAAGACUCGAAUGGAAAGCAAUAAUAUUAAUUCACAAACUUCGCAACAGCAUACCAAGAAAUAAAAAGCCCAUUUCACCUCACCUUCAGCAACCACAACCAAUAGCACUGUACAUAAA
rnacentral:misc_RNA from 1 species